GUCUAUGGCCAUGCUACCCUGAACAAGUCCGAUGUCUGAUCUUGGAAGCUAAGCAGUGUUGGGUCUGGUUAGUACUUGGAUAGGAGACCACCUAGGAAGACCAAGUGCUGUAGGCA
rnacentral:rRNA from 1 species